GACAGAGGUGCCAAGCGUUAGGCGGAAUCACUGGGCUUAAAGCGUGUGUAGGCGGAUGCCUAAGUACCUUGUGAAAUCCCACGGCUCAACCGUGGAACUGCUGGGUAUACGUGGGUGUCGUUGGGUCAGCUAGGGGUUGCCGGAACAAAUGGUGGAGCGGUGAAAUGACGUAGAUAUCAUUUGGAACGCCAAUGGCGAAAGCAGGCAACUGGGGCUGUACCGACGCUGAG
rnacentral:rRNA from 1 species